rnacentral:rRNA from 1 species
AUUGACCUCGGAUCAGGUAGGGAUACCCGCUGAACUUAAGCAUAUCAAUAAGCGGAGGAAAAGAAACCAACAGGGAUUGCCCUAGUAACGGCGAGUGAAGCGGCAACAGCUCAAAUUUGAAAUCUGGCCCCCCCACGGGGGUCCGAGUUGUAAUUUGCAGAGGGUGCUUUGGCGUUGGCUGUGGUCUAAGUUCCUUGGAACAGGACGUCGCAGAGGGUGAGAAUCCCGUAUGUGGCCGCCAGUCUUCGCCGUGUAAAGCCCCUUCGACGAGUCGAGUUGUUUGGGAAUGCAGCUCUAAAUGGGAGGUAAAUUUCUUCUAAAGCUAAAUAUCUGCCAGAGACCGAUAGCGCACAAGUAGAGUGAUCGAAAGAUGAAAAGCACUUUGGAAAGAGAGUCAAAAAGCACGUGAAAUUGUUGAAAGGGAAGCGCUUGCAGUUAGACGUGCCUCUAGUUGCUCAGCCGGGCCUUCGGGCCCGGUGCACUCUUCUAUUGGCAGGCCAGCAUCAGUCUGGGCGGUCGGAUAAAGGCCCAUUAAACGUGACUCCCUCCGGGGAGAGCUUAUAGGGUGGGCGACAUGCGAUCAGCCCGGACUGAGGUCCGCGCAUCUGCUAGGAUGCUGGCUUAAUAACUGUAAGCGGCCCGUCUUGAAACACGGACCAAGGAGUCUAACAUCUAUGCGAGUGUUUGGGUGUCAAGCCCGGACGCGUAAUGAAAGUGAACGGAGGUGGGAUCCCUUCGGGGUGCACCAUCGACCGAUCCUGAUGUCUUCGGAUGGAUUUGAGUAAGAGCAUAGCUGUUGGGACCCGAAAGAUGGUGAACUAUGCCUGAAUAGGGUGAAGCCAGAGGAAACUCUGGUGGAGGCUCGCAGCGGUUCUGACGUGCAAAUCGAUCGUCAAAUUUGGGCAUAGGGGCGAAAGACUAAUCGAACUAUCUAGUAGCUGGUUCCUGCCGAAGUUUCCCUCAGGAUAGCAGUAACGUUUUCAGUUUUAUGAGGUAAAGCGAAUGAUUAGAGGCCUGGGGGUUGAAACAACCUUCACCUAUUCUCAAACUUUA